CUGAAUCAAGAGCACACAAGAUAAGACUCUGGAGAAAAAUCUAGUUUUUUGUUAGGUCUGGGGAGACUGCUCAAGGAGUUCUGAUCAGUAGAUUUAUCUGGAGAGGUAUUCUAGAAUGCCUAGUGUUAAAUUCCACAUUGCUUUAGGUCCUUGGAUGUCUGGAGGAGGAUGCUGGUUAGAGGAAGAAUCCCCUGAACUCAUCAAGCAAAAAAUAAGUGCAGAAGUAGCAAAUCCUUCCUUGCCCUCAGGAUACUUUUGUAGAAACAGGAAAAGGGCUGAAUUUUUUCAUCUGAGUUGACAAACAGCAAAAGAGAAUAUGGAAGUGGAAGCUGGUGAUCGAGGAGAAAUGAGAAAUGGCCGAAACCAUUGGGAAGGCAUCAUAAACCUUGGUAGGUGCUCAUGGCCAUUCCAGUACUUCAAAUGAAAGCAGAAGUGUGAAGGAAGCCACAUGGAACGAGACAGAAACACAGGGUGCUCAAUGGCAGAGUUUAGACUGUUGCCUCACCUUCUCAGUAAAGCAGAAACCUUCAAGAAGCCAUCGGAGCUCUCUCCCUCUUUGACGUGGGAAGACUCAAGACAACGCAUGCUGUAGUCAUUGGUGCUGCCACGUUCCCAUCAUCCAUCUGCCCUCUUUUCUCAGCUGAUACUUCCAUCUACUCCUUGAUGAUUCCUCAGAAAGUCUCUUCGUCAUCUUGUGCUUCAUUUCUACACCUAUAGAAAUUGGUCAGAAUGAAACUAUAAAGUUUACACAUGAAAUAAAAUGAGGAUAUUUGAAAUUGCAAGUGGCCAGUACAAGCCAAACGUGGCUCAUGUAAUGGGUAAGCCUGGUGGUGGUUCAUGCUUCAGGCAUGACUGGCGGCAUCCGGGGGUUCAAAUGAUGUUUCCCUCAUCCUGCAUGUGGGCUCUCCCCUCAAGGUAGGGAAAAAAUGAGCUCUAGCCAUCGCAGAAUCACACUGACCCAGUUAAACUGUCCCAGAAGGAAGAGGUACUUCUCUCCACCUGUGUCCAUAUAUGCCUUCAGGGAAGGUGCCUGCUCAGAUCACUUGCCCUUCCUCUGUCCAUUGCCAUUGCAGAGGAAUCCUGGAAUAAUUUUGUUCUCGUGAGCAGGGACAACAUGAUUGACCACACGUGAAAUAGGUGGUGAUGGUGGCGGCUGUCACUUCCAGAAAUAAGGGUGCUAGUUAGAUGAAAGCAAUGGGAUCCUCUCCAUCCACCCGCGUACCCAUGCAGCCAGCUACCCAGACAAGUGGGCAGUCAUUCACUGACAGCGUAUUGUAGCCAUCGCAGUAUGCUAAGCCAUGUCUGAGAUUCCUAAGGACAGUGAGACACAACUCACAAAUCAAGACGGCGCAAGGUCAGAAGAGCUAAGCGGGGUAAGGGAGACGGUGGAAAGCCUACGAACGUUCAGCUGAAGGAACUAUUCCCUAUAGCUAGGGGAAAUUGGGAAUGACUUCUCAGAGAUAGCAUAGUGAUGUAGUGCAUGUGUUACUGGCACUUAAAAACUAGGGUUUGAUUCGUGGCUCCUCUAGUUAUUAGCUGUGUAACAUUGGCACUCUUUAGAUUCGCUUCACUGUCUCCAAAAGGGGAGUAAGAUAGGAUCUGCCUCAUAGGGACAUGGUGUGGAGAUGAGGCACGUGUGAGCUUUUAGCAUCACGCCUGGCGUGAAACAAAAGUUCAACGAAUGGCAGAUGUCAUGGUUUUGUUGCAGUGGUUUUGAGAGCUUUAUUUGAAAAGUUGCACCUGGAAAAGAAAUGUGGCAUCCUUAAUGACAUUUGUGAAUGUCCUGAGGGUACUGAAAGCUGGCACGAUCACGAAAACACCCGUGUCUUGUUUGUAGGAAUGAGGGAGGACAGCGUCCCUGCUUUUCAUGAUGGACAGUAGCCGCAUGGUGGGUGGCAGCUGGAUUGUGUCAUACCCAGUUGUGUGCCUGAGACUGUGCGUUUCCUACUGAAGAGGACAAAGAGACCUCUAAAGAAAAAUAGACGUGAAUCAUAGGGAAAAGGGCACUGGGUCUGUUUUGGAUUAGUGGAGAGGAAAUGGGUGGAAAACAUUUGGUUGUUUGAGCAUAAGAAGAGCUAUUUAAAAAGUCCCAGGUUUGUGUGUUCUCCAGAAUGUUUCUUCCUAGUAAUAAAGCCUGCGAAGUCAUGUGACACAGGAAAAAAGAUGUAAUUUGGAUUUGGAAGAAUGGGCUUUAGUCUUGACCCGACCAGGUUCUGCUUUGUGAAUGGGGGAAAACUCACCUAGGGUGGUCAGCCUCAUUUUCCCCACCGGCAAUUCAGGGUGGUGCUCUGUCUUCCUCACAGGGUUUCAGCGGGCACGUGGGGGAAUCAAGUGACUUAAUGAAAUAUACGUUGUUGGAGGAGUCGUUAGCACUAUGGGACAGUGCAAGGACUAUUAGGCACAGGGUACAAAGGAGUGUGUAGUGAAGCCAAGACGGCACCAGGACCCCAUAUCACAGUGUGGGGCUUUUCUACCUGGGGUGUGUACCAAAGCCUGGAAUUCAUAGUCCCGUCUUUCGGGAUGACUUCUUUGCCAUGAGGGCAUUUCGAUAUAGUGUUUUUCAUUUCGUUGAAAAUCUAACAAAACAAUGUAAGCAUGUUCUACAUCAUCUGGUUCCCCUUAUAAACAAGUAUUGCCAUGCAGGGCCAGUGCCCACAUUUGCAUUGGUGUUUAUAACUGUGUUGGAGUCAAGAAGAACUACUUUGAUUGUCCCAGGCUAAAGAGCGAAGGCAGACUUUAUACACAAAUUAUAAAUCCCUGCCAAGAAAAGGCUAUGUAAUAUCAUGGGGUACUGUAGGAGCAACGUGAGGAAAUUUGCAAGUGGUGAUUUAGGGUCAGCAAAAGCCUCUCUCAUGUUACGAUUUGCAUUAGUAUGAAUUUUUAGUUUUGUUUGGAUUUACUUGUUUAUAGUCAUGAUAUUUAUCAGUAAAAGAAAGGCUCGCCUGGUUUUUUAUUGGUAUUGUGUUAAUAUUGUAAUAACAAUAAUUAUCACUUUAAAUUUUUUUUUAACGUUUAUUUAUUUUUGAGACAGAGAGAGACAGAGCAUGAAUGGGGGAGGGGCAGAGAGAGAGGGAGACACAGAAUCUGAAACAGAUUCCAGGCUCUGAGCCAUCAGCCCAGAGCCCAACGCGGGGCUCGAACUCACGGACGGCGAGAUCGUGACCUGAGCCGAAGUCGGACGCUCAACCGACUGAGCCACCCAGGCGCCCCAAUAAUUAUCACUUUAAAAGUUAUUUAAGCAAAGUUUGGGGAUUGGCAUGACUUUAUUUUUUCAUUAAAAAUGACGCUUAUGAUAUUUGUUUGAGAAACGGUAUUGUUGAAUGUAAAAGCUUGCGCUUGAAAUAAGCACACGAAAAAAUGCUUAAUAUUAUUGGUUACUGGAGGCAUGCAAAUUGAAACCACAGCACAGUAUUACCACAUGGCCAUCAGAGUUGUUACAAUGAAAAAGACUAACCCAUACCAAGUGUUGGUGAGAAUAUGGAGCCAGUAGAACUCUCGUGUGGUGCUGGGAAGAGUGAAAAAUGGUGUAGUCACUCUGGAAACCAAUCUGGUAGUUUCUCAAAGAGUUAAAGACAAUUAAUGUAUGACCCAGCCAUUCCACUCCCAGUUUUUUAUGCCAGAGAACUGAAAGCAUAUAUUCACACAAAGAUACUAUCUGAGUGCUCAUAGCCGUGUUAUUUGUAAUCGUCUCAAACGGGAAAUAAUCUAUAUGUUCAUCAACAGGUCAGUCGAUUAACAAAUGGUGGGAUAGCUGUACAAUGGGUUAUUAUUCAGCAGUAGAAAGGCGUGAACCAUUGAUACACCCUACAACAUGGAUGUAUCUCAACAUCAAUGUGCUGAGUAAAAGAAAACAGCCAAAAAAGGUACACAGUUUAUGGUUGCAUUUAUAUAAAACUCUAGAAAAUGCGAAUCAGGGUGUAUGUAGGGACAGAAAGAUCGGUGGUUGCCUGGGGGUGGGGUGGGCUCAGGGAGAGAGGGAUGACAAAAAGCAUGGUAAAGUCGGGGAGAAGGAUCAAAUCUUUUCUUGAUUGCAGCCAUGAUUUCACAGAUGUAGACAAUUCACAACUCACCACCUCAUCCCCUUUAAGUACUCAUAUUUAUCUUAUGUCAAUUAUAGUUCAAUAAAGGUGUUAAAAAAAACCCACAGUGUCCCAAAACUUGCCACCAGGCAGGCUUGGUUUUUAAUGUCAGCUUUGCCUCUCACUAUUAACGUCAGCGUGGGGAAAUUGCUUCAUUUUUUGAGCGUCAGAUGUGAAAUGGAUAUACUACCUACCCCAGAAGGCUGUCAUACAAUCAAGUGAAAUAUAUGUGCCUUCUAGCAAAGUACUCAGUACGUACUGAAUACCCAGGACGGGGUAUUAUCCUCACCCUGGAGUGGGUAUUGUACCUAGCAGAAAGCAAUGUGGGUCAUACGCGUAAACAUCUACUCUCUGAUUCUGGAGAUCAUAGCACAUUCUGUGUACUUCUGUGAGUACUUCAUUAUAAAUGUACUGCCUUCCACCUAAGAAUCUUGUAUGCAUAGAUACUAACAAUAAAAGCACCCACUGCCCAGGCUGCAUGCUAUGUU